AUUGAACGCUGGCGGCAGGCUUAACACAUGCAAGUCGAGCGGUAACUGAGAGAAGCUUGCUUCUCUGCUGACGAGCGGCGGACGGGUGAGUAAUGCCUAGGAAUCUGCCUAGUAGUGGGGGAUAGCUUGCCGAAAGGUAAGCUAAUACCGCAUACGUCCUACGGGAGAAAGGAGGGGACCUUCGGGCCUUCCGCUAUUAGAUGAGCCUAGGUCGGAUUAGUUAGUUGGUGAGGUAAUGGCUCACCAAGACCGCGAUCCGUAACUGGUCUGAGAGGAUGAUCAGUCACACUGGAACUGGGACACAGUCCAGACUCCUACGGGAGGCAGCAGUGGGGAAUAUUGGACAAUGGGGGGAACCCUGAUCCAGCCAUGCCGCGUGUGUGAAGAAGGUCUUAGGAUUGUAAAGCACUUUAAGUUGGGAGGAAGAGCAGUUAACUAAUAUUUGACUGUUUUGACGUUACCGACAGAAUAAGCACCGGCCAACUUCGUGCCAGCAGCCGCGGUAA
rnacentral:rRNA from 1 species